AGGAUGAACGCUAGCGGUGUGCCUAAAGCAUGCAAGUCGAACGAAGUUUAAUUUAUAGCAAUAUAGAUUAAACUUAGUGGCGAACGGGUGAGUAAUGCAUAGCGAACUUACCUUUAACAUGAGGAUAGCUUAUUGAAAAUAAGGUAAUACUCAAUAUGGUUUAGAUUUGAAAUAUUCUAAAUUAAAGCCCAAAAGGCGGUUAGAGAAAGGACUAUGUUCUAUCAGCUUGUUGGUGAGGUAAUGGCUUACCAAGGCUAUGACGGAUAGCUGGUCUGAGAGGAUGGUCAGCCACAUUGGGACUGCGACACGGCCCAAACUCCUACGGGAGGCAGC
rnacentral:rRNA from 1 species